UACGAGGGGGCGAGCGUUGUCCGGAGUUACUGGGUGUAAAGGGUUCGUAGGCGGUGUGGCAAGUUGGGAGUGGAAUCUCUGGGCUCAACCCAGAGGCUGCUUCCAAAACUGCUGUGCUUGAGUGUGGGAGAGGCGCGUGGAAUUGCAGGUGUAGCGGUGAAAUGCGUAGAUAUCUGCAGGAACACCCGUGGCGAAAGCGGCGCGCUGGACCACUACUGACGCUGAGGAACGAAAGCUAGGGGAGCAAACAGG
rnacentral:rRNA from 1 species